ensembl:snRNA U4 U4 spliceosomal RNA
AGCUUUGUGCACUGGUGGUAUCGUAGCCAAUGAGGUUUAUUCAAGGCAUGAUUAUUGCUAACUGAAAACUUUUCCCAAUACCCUGCCAUGAUGACUUGAAAUAUAGUCGGCACUGGCAAUUUUUGACAGUCUCUACGGAGU